AUGCUAGUUGAUGAGGACCAAUCUGGUUUUGUGAGAGGCAGAAGUAUUUCUGAAAAUUUCGUCUAUGCAACUAAGCUCAUACAAUGCUGUCACAAAAGGGCUGCCCCCACAGUUGUUCUGAAGCUGGAUUUCUCCAAGGCGUUCAACUCCAUCAACUGGGAGAGUCUCAAAGCUAUCACUGAAGCUCAAGGGUUUCCGGCGGUGUGGUGUGACUGGAUCGAUGUCAUCCUGAGCUCCUCCCAUUUUGCGGUGCUACUCAACGGGGUGCCAGGGAAGUGGCUUAAGCUGAAGUGUGGGCUCCGCCAGGGUGAUCCGAUCUCGCCGUACCUCUUCUUGAUCAUGGCUGAUGUGCUACAACAGCUGAUUCGCCAGGAUGGCGUGAUGCGGCACCCCUGGUGCCUGGUGCCCCCGCUGUAG
rnacentral:rRNA from 1 species